rnacentral:rRNA from 1 species
ACUCCUACGGGAGGCAGCAGUAAGGAAUAUUGGACAAUGGGCGCAAGCCUGAUCCAGCCAUCCCGCGUGCAGGAAGACCAGCCCUAUGGGUUUUAAACUGCUUUAGAAAGGGAAGAAACGCCCUACAUUUAUGUGGGUUUGACGGUACCUUCAGAAUAAGCACCGGCUAACUCCGUGCCAGCAGCCGCGGUAAAUACGGAGGGUGCGAGCGUUAUCCGGAAUUACUGGGUUUAAAGGGUGCGUAGGCGGGCGAUUAAGUCAGAGGUGAAAGCUUUCAGCUUAACUGAGAAAAUUGCCUUUGAUACUGAUUGUCUUGAAAUAUGUUGAGGUUAGCAGAAUGUGGCAUNUAGCGGUGAAAUGCAUAGAUAUGCCAUAGAAUACCAAUUGCGAAGGCAGCUAACUGGGCAUUAUUUGACGCUGAGGCACGAAAGCGUGGGGAGCGAACAGGAUUAGAUACCC